GCACCCGUGGUGAAAUCGGCAGACACGUAAGAUUCAGGUUCUUAUGCUUUCAAAGGCGUGGAGGUUCAAAUCCUCUCGGGUGCACCA
rnacentral:tRNA from 1 species